AACGAACGCUGGCGGCAUGCCUAACACAUGCAAGUCGAACGAGACCUUCGGGUCUAGUGGCGCACGGGUGCGUAACGCGUGGGAACCUGCCCUUAGGUUCGGAAUAACUCCCCGAAAGGGGUGCUAAUACCGGAUAAUGUCUUCGGACCAAAGAUUUAUCGCCUUUGGAUGGGCCCGCGUUGGAUUAGCUAGUUGGUAGGGUAAAAGCCUACCAAGGCGACGAUCCAUAACUGGUCUGAGAGGAUGAUCAGCCACACUGGGACUGAGACACGGCCCAGACUCCUACGGGAGGCAGCAGUGGGGAAUAUUGGACAAGGGGCGAAAGCCUGAUCCAGCAAUGCCGCGUGAGUGAUGAAGGCCUUAGGGUUGUAAAGCUCUUUUACCCGGGAUGAUAAUGACAGUACCGGGAGAAUAAGCUCCGGCUAACUACGUG
rnacentral:rRNA from 1 species